UACGUAGGGGGCGAGCGUUAUCCGGAUUCAUUGGGCGUAAAGCGCGCGUAGGCGGCCCGGCAAGCCGGGGGUGCAAGGCGGGGGCCCAACCCCCGGACUGCCCCCGGAACUGCCGGGCUCGGGUCCCGCAGGGGAGGGCGGAACUCCCGGUGUAGCGGUGGAAUGCGCAGAUAUCGGGAGGAACGCCGGCGGCGAAGGCGGCCCUCUGGGCGGCGACCGACGCUGAGGCGCGAGAGCCGGGGGAGCGAAC
rnacentral:rRNA from 1 species